rnacentral:rRNA from 1 species
UACGUAGGGGGCAAGCGUUGUCCGGAUUUAUUGGGCGUAAAGAGCGUGUAGGCGGCCAUGUAGGUCCGUUGUGAAAACUCGAGGCUCAACCUCGAGACGCCGAUGGAAACCAUGUGGCUAGAGUCCGGAAGAGGAGAGUGGAAUUCCUGGUGUAGCGGUGAAAUGCGCAGAUAUCAGGAAGAACACCCGUGACUAAGGCGGCUCUCUAGUACGGUACUGACGCUGAGACGCGAAAGCGUGGGGAGCGAACAGG